GAUGAACGCUGGCGGCGUGCCUAAUACAUGCAAGUCGAGCGAACAGAUGAGGAGCUUGCUCCUCUGACGUUAGCGGCGGACGGGUGAGUAACACGUGGAUAACCUACCUAUAAGACUGGGAUAACUUCGGGAAACCGGAGCUAAUACCGGAUAAUAUAUUGAACCGCAUGGUUCAAUAGUGAAAGACGGUUUUGCUGUCACUUAUAGAUGGAUCCGCGCCGCAUUAGCUAGUUGGUAAGGUAACGGCUUACCAAGACAACGAUGCGUAGCCGACCUGAGAGGGUGAUCGGCCACACUGGAACUGAGACACGGUCCAGACUCCUACGGGAGGCAGCAGUAGGGAAUCUUCCGCAAUGGGCGAAAGCUUGACGGAGCAACGCCGCGUGAGUGAUGAAGGUCUUCGGAUCGUAAAACUCUGUUAUUAGGGAAGAACAAAUGUGUAAGUAACUAUGCACGUCUUGACGGUACCUAAUCAGAAAGCCACGGCUAACUACGUG
rnacentral:rRNA from 1 species